rnacentral:rRNA from 1 species
AUACGGAGGGUGCAAGCGUUAUCCGGAAUCAUUGGGUUUAAAGGGUCCGUAGGCGGACUAUUAAGUCAGAGGUGAAAGCCCAUCGCUCAACGAUGGAACUGCCUUUGAUACUGGUUGACUUGAGUUAUACGGAAGUAGAUAGAAUAAGUAGUGUAGCGGUGAAAUGCACAGAUAUUACUUAGAAUACCGAUUGCGAAGGCAGUCUACUACGUAUAUACUGACGCUGAGGGACGAAAGCGUGGGGAGCGAACAGGAUUAGAAACCCGAGUAGUCC